rnacentral:rRNA from 1 species
UACGUAGGGUGCAAGCGUUGUCCGGAAUUAUUGGGCGUAAAGAGCUCGUAGGCGGUUUGUCGCGUCGAAUGUGAAAACCCGGGGCUCAACUCCGGGCCUGCAUUCGAUACGGGCAGACUAGAGUUCGGUAGGGGAGACUGGAAUUCCUGGUGUAGCGGGUGAAAUGCGCAGAUAUCAGGAGGAACACCGGUGGCGAAGGCGGGUCUCUGGGCCGAUGACUGACGCUGGAGGAGCGAAGCGUGGGGAGCGAACAGGA